GUGCCGGGCUCAUUGAUAACAAAAUUUUCAUUUAUUAACCCGCACAACACUAGUACCUACAGUGUUGAGUACCAUUCUCAAAAGAUUACUGAUGCAUUCAAAGUCAAAGGCGAAAGAAACAUGUUAUUUUUAGCUCCUCACAAUCCAGGGUACCUAUACAAUUACAAGGUUGGGAGUAUGGAUACUAUGUUAUGAAGUUUAUGAGAGAAGUAAUCAUACAACAAGAGUUGAUCAUUCCUGAAAAUUAUUUUGUUGGAGCAAGAUAUUCACAUUUUACUAUAGAACAAAUAGAAGAUUUAGUUGAAGAAUGAUCAGAACAUAUUAUUGGCUGUUUGUGAUAGGAAGUUAGAUUUCAAUGUUAAAAAAAUAACAAUAGUUUCA